rnacentral:misc_RNA from 1 species
CAGAGUUACUAAACUCCCAAACCCAUGUGAACUUACCUUUGUUGCCUCGGCGGUUACUUACCCUGUAGCUACCCUGUAGCUACCCGGUAGAUGCCGCCGGUGGAUCUCUAAACUCUUGUUUAAAUAUGGUUAUUCUGAGUUAUUACUAUAAUAAGUCA